ACGGACUUUGUUAAGGAAGCUCCCUCUCUUAAUUAAUUGUGCAUGCUUAAUGAACAUUAGAAAGAUAUGAUCACAACCCACCCACCCGGGUCCUUGACAAUAUUCAUGCUGUAUGCAGGAAGGAUGAAGAUGAUCAUCAUGGUUACAGUUACAGAUCAUUAGCAGCACACCACAUGACGAUACCGGCUACCAUUAAAAUUAAGAUUAAAUGUUUAUAGUUUGUAUGAAGUGAAGGUCUCUGAGGAUGGCAAUUGACAGUUUUGUGCUCUCUCAGACCAGAUGUAUGGGUCGCCCGAGUAUCACAAGCAUGUUCGCAAAGAGGUCGUGAAACAGGUUGUUAUAGAACAGUUCCUAAGCGGCCAAAAAACUUUUAUACCGGUGCAUUUUGUGAGGCUAGAAUUAGUGUCUCCUGCAACCUGUUUUGGUUUGUGUUACACUCCUGAGGGUACAAAAACUUUCUCCCAAACCUGAAGAUGGUAUUUCAUAAGGGAGAUUAAAAUCCUUAAUGAAAUGGAACUUAAUUGCAAUCUUCUGGUAAGGAUUGAGAAACAGAAUAAAACCCUGUGAGGUAGCAUCUGAACUACUGCGGUUAGUGUGUUAAUUGAGUUGCAGAAUAAGAACCUGAGUGGUAGGAUGCCUUCUUCACAAUAACCUUUAACUGUUGUCCUGUAUCAUACCUACAACAACAAUCACAAGCCUUAAUCCCACUAUUUUGGAUUGGCUACACGAGUUCUAGACCUCCAACCAUCUUUAUUCACGGCCAUAUCCUUUGUAAAGCUAUUAUAUCAUGUGUCAUGUUAAAAAGGUUUUUCACUAAGUUUGUUUUGAUCUUCUUCUCCCACUUUUGCCACAAACUCCCUCUUUCAUCCACCCACCUUACAGUUGCAUGACUUGCAUCUAUUAGUCUUUUUUCUUACGUAUCCAAACCAUCUAAAUCACAAAUUUAACAUUUUAUCUUCAAUAGGCAUCAUUCUAAUCUUAUUAGGUAUGAUUUUAUUUCUUAUUUUGUUUUAUCUUGUAGGGCCACCUAUCCAACUUUACAAUCCUGGAAAUAGAAACUACUAAUCCAGUUGCAUUAUUGGGCUUAUGAAUUGAUGGCCAGUAAAACAAACCAUCCAUGACCUUUUGCAUUUCCUACACUGAUUUCUGGUAAAGCAGAUUAUCAACAAAUUCAUCACAAUGAUAAUACUUUCAUUGCUGCUCUGCUGCAAAAAGAAGACGCAUUCCAUCUUUCAUAAAUUUAAACCAACAUACAUGGAUCAAUCAAACUAGUCCCGUGAUGUUGGGACCUCAGUAUGCCGGCGUCAAUUGGUUUGCUGUAUGGAGCAACAUUUUGUGCUAUGCCAAACCAUUAUUCUUAGCAGUUGUGCGUGUACUGUGCCAAAUUAAUAAACAUAGUUGAAUGCUGUAGUCAAAUGUUUCCAUACUCACAAGUAUAUAAAAGAAUUUCUAGACAAUAUGUCAAAGAAAAUAUACGAGUGGGAAGUGUGCAUAAAUGUUCAAUCAGAUCGACUUCCUCCCUUUCCAGAAAUAUGAUGAACUAUUCAUCAUUAUACAGUUCAUGCCAAGUUUGUUUUAUAAAAAAAUGAUGCAGUGAUGGAUUGUUUGGCUUAAGUCUAUAAAACAUGGGGGAAAAGAUCCCAAAAUAGUGGGGAAAACAACUGCAACAUACAACAAAAUACAACAUUUAGAAAAGAAGAAUUACACAUAAUAGACCUACAUCCAUAAAGGAAGACCACUUUACCAUACAAGAACAAAGUACAAUACAAUAAAACGAAAUUUUUUGAGUUAAUUUAAACCCAAAAACACAAUCUUUUGUAUACCCCACUCAUAAACUGAAAAAUAUUCUCUCACCCACGAGAAAUACCAGAAGCACACAAGGUGUUUCCCAAAGCCCUUGAAAAUUUCCAUACCCAAAACACCUAACACUCAAAAUUUCUCUCUACUUUGUGAACCUGUAAAAUGUUAAAUUUAUAGCCCUCUAAGACUUUACCAGUAGCCACUACCCUAAGCGACUUAUUGGCAUAUUGAACCACAAACCAUUCAGCACCAACGAAGUCUUUAGCCAAACCCUAUUAUAAUAUAUUAUCUUUAUGAGUUUUUAAGGAAUAAGUUUUGGGUGACAGGAAAAUACCUUUACUUACAAAGUACUCCAGCUUAAACUUACCCAAUUCACUAGAAAUUUCAUCAUCUGGUAGUGGACUUCCUAGAACUGCAGAGUCAGUAUCGGUAUAAUAACAGUCUGGUCUCUUAAUGAACUUAUACAUGUGAAUACGAGCUGAAGCAGUAGUAGCAGCAGCCAAUUGAACUGAAGAUAUCCUAGGCGGAUCCCAGUCUGACUUGUCAACAAAUUGUGUAUUACCAAGCAUGGAUGCGGGACAGCAAGGAAAAUUGCAGAAAGUUGAGAAGAAAGAGGAUAUUAGGAAGAAAAAGAAGAAUAGGAAUCUUGAAAAGAGAAGUAAGUCCAAAAGGGAAGAAGAGAGGAGCAAGAAUAGACAAGAGAGGAAAUUCAUACCAAUGUAUUCAGUAAUCAAGAACUGAAUAAAAAGUUACAUCAUAAGCCUUUAUUUAUAGGCAAAAACUAAACCUAACUAUAGUAUGAUUAGAAAACUAAAUUCUUAUAUUAUUAUUCCAAGUUAAAUCCUAUAAUAGCAAUAAUACUCUAAAAAUGGACACAAAUCAAGAUAACAAGAAAACAAAAUAAAUCCUAAAUCUAAUCUUUAAAAUCAAAAUAGAAAAAAAUAUCAAAAUAUGAUUCUAAUACAUAAAUCAAAUAUAACUCUAUCAUCUAAAUAAUCAUAUGAUAAAUCAAAUCAGGAUAAAUCACUAUCGCAACAACUCAAUUCAAUUCAAUCAUCAAUGAGGGUUUCCUCCCUUUCCAAGGAUAUGAUAUAUUCAUCAUUAUAUAGACAGGGAAGAGUUAGUUUUUUAUUUUUUUGGGGAGGGGGAACUCUAA